CUAUAAAGCAGACUCUAGGCCAGAAACCAACCAGUGGUGAGCCCUCUGAGGUGAAGGGUGCCCUCCGAAGAUUCUUAACUGACUUGGCUCAGGUGCUGGGAGGCCCCCAGGCUCCUGCCCCCAGGAAGGGAAGGCCUAACUAAGAGAAGCUGCUGGAGAAUCGAAGUGUCAGCUGCCUCAAAGCCACAGUCCUUGCUUUGAAGAUGUUCUUCAAAGUCCUGAACUCACAAUGGGGAGGAGGAGGGGAGGAGAGAGUGCUUGAAAAGGUGCUGCUUCCAAGACAUCAGCCUUCCAGCCUCAGCCAAGCGUCUCCUCUAAUAUCAUCGACCACCGCCAGUUCCUGGUUCCAGGCCACACCUGCCUCCACGGAGAAACCCUGGCACCUGCCAUCAUCUUAAGAGACUCAGCAUCCACCUAACAGCCUCAUUCCAUCCAACGCCCCCCACUCAAAGCUCCUCAGCCUUCUGGACUAUCACCUCCACUCCCCCAACCCAUGCUCAUGGCCUCACCCAGACCUGUGCUACUUCCCCAGUGGUUCUACUUCCAACAUCAAAAACAUGACCUCUCUCUCUUCCUCCCUUCCACCAGCCCUGUUCUCUGCUCGUCCCUCCCUCCCUCUCAGCAGAACACAUGCGCCUCUGCCUGCCUGGCCCUGCCUCUGGAUUGCGUUCCCACCCCUGGAGGGAUCGCCAGGUACCUCUCAUCAAUUCUCUGUCUGUCUUCACCUUUUUUUCUAUCUGGUCUUUUGCCGUCAGUAUUUAAACUCAGCCAAAUCUCCCUCACCUUUAAAGAGGAGAAUUCCAUUUGUGGGCAACAAUUUUCCUAGAAGAUAUAUACAAAAUUGAUCAAAUACUUUUAGAGAGAGGGACUGAGGGGUCAGAAAUGAGACAUAUGGAAAUUUUCUUUUCAUUUUAUACAUUUGGUAUUGUGUUUUUGGGGGUUUUUUUUUUACUACUUACAUGGAAUAUUUUCAUUAAAAUUAGCAAAUCAGUCA